CCGCACAAGCGGUGGAGCAUGUGGUUUAAUUCGAUGCAACGCGAAGAACCUUACCUGGUCUUGACAUCCCGGAGACCCUUAGGAAACUAGGGGGUGCUUCCAUCUGGAAGAAUCUGGAGACAGGUGCUGCAUGGCUGUCGUCAGCUCGUGUCGUGAGAUGUUGGGUUAAGUCCCGCAACGAGCGCAACCCUUGCCUUUAGUUGCCAGCAGUUCGGCUGGGCACUCUAAAGGGACUGCCGGUGUUAAACCGGAGGAAGGUGGGGAUGACGUCAAGUCCUCAUGGCCUUUAUGACCAGGGCUACACACGUACUACAAUGGCCGAUACAAAGGGCAGCGACACUGCGAGGUGAAGCCAAUCCCGUAAAAUCGGUCUCAGUCCGGAUUGGAGUCUGCAACUCGACUCCAUGAAGUUGGAAUCGCUAGUAAUCGUGGAUCAGCAUGCCACGGUGAAUACGUUCCCGGGCCUU
rnacentral:rRNA from 1 species